AGUGGGGAAUAUUGGACAAUGGGGGCAACCCUGAUCCAGCAAUGCCGCGUGUGUGAAGAAGGCCUUCGGGUUGUAAAGCACUUUUAUCGGGAACGAAACAUUGUCGGUGAAUAUCCGGCAAGACUGACGGUACCCGAGGAAUAAGCACCGGCUAACUUCGUGCCAGCAGCCGCGGUAAUACGAAGGGUGCAAGCGUUACUCGGAAUUACUGGGCGUAAAGGGUGCGUAGGUGGUUUUUUAAGUCUGCUGUGAAAUCCCCGGGCUCAACCUGGGAAUGGCAGUGGAUACUGGAAAGCUGGAGUGCGGUAGAGGGUAGUGGAAUUCCCGGUGUAGCAGUGAAAUGCGUAGAGAUCGGGAGGAACACCAGUGGCGAAGGCGGCUACCUGGACCAGCACUGACACUGAGGCACGAAAGCGUGGGGAGCAAACAGGAUUAGAUACCCUGGUAGUCCACGCCCUAAACGAUGCGAACUGGAUGUUGGGUGCAACUUGGCACUCAGUAUCGAAGCUAACGCGUUAAGUUCGCCGCCUGGGGAGUACGGUCGC
rnacentral:rRNA from 1 species